CGAGGGGCAGCAUGGUCUUAGCUUGCUAAGGCCGAUGGCGACCGGCGCACGGGUGAGUAACACGUAUCCAACCUGCCGUCUACUCUUGGACAGCCUUCUGAAAGGAAGAUUAAUACAAGAUGGCAUCAUGAGUCCGCAUGUUCACAUGAUUAAAGGUAUUCCGGUAGACGAUGGGGAUGCGUUCCAUUAGAUAGUAGGCGGGGUAACGGCCCACCUAGUCUUCGAUGGAUAGGGGUUCUGAGAGGAAGGUCCCCCACAUUGGAACUGAGACACGGUCCAAACUCCUACGGGAGGCAGCAGUGAGGAAUAUUGGUCAAUGGGCGAGAGCCUGAACCAGCCAAGUAGCGUGAAGGAUGACUGCCCUAUGGGUUGUAAACUUCUUUUAUAAAGGAAUAAAGUCGGGUAUGGAUACCCGUUUGCAUGUACUUUAUGAAUAAGGAUCGGCUAACUCCGUGCCAGCAGCCGCGGUAAUACGGAGGAUCCGAGCGUUAUCCGGAUUUAUUGGGUUUAAAGGGAGCGUAGAUGGAUGUUUAAGUCAGUUGUGAAAGUUUGCGGCUCAACCGUAAAAUUGCAGUUGAUACUGGAUAUCUUGAGUGCAGUUGAGGCAGGCGGAAUUCGUGGUGUAGCGGUGAAAUGCUUAGAUAUCACGAAGAACUCCGAUUGCGAAGGCAGCCUGCUAAGCUGCAACUGACAUUGAGGCUCGAAAGUGUGGGUAUCAAACAGGAUUAGAUACCCUGGUAGUCCACACGGUAAACGAUGAAUACUCGCUGUUUGCGAUAUACUGCAAGCGGCCAAGCGAAAGCGUUAAGUAUUCCACCUGGGGAGUACGCCGGCAACGGUGAAACUCAAAGGAAUUGACGGGGGCCCGCACAAGCGGAGGAACAUGUGGUUUAAUUCGAUGAUACGCGAGGAACCUUACCCGGGCUUAAAUUGCAGAUGAAUUACGGUGAAAGCCGUAAGCCGCAAGGCAUCUGUGAAGUGCUGCAUGGUUGU
rnacentral:rRNA from 1 species